CAAAACUUUCAACAACGGAUCCCUUGGUUCUGGCAUCGAUGAAGAACGCAGCGAAAUGCGAUAAGUAAUGUGAAUUGCAGAAUUCAGUGAAUCAUCGAAUCUUUGAACGCACAUUGCGCCCCCUGGUAUUCCGGGGGGCAUGCCUGUUCGAGCGUCA
rnacentral:rRNA from 1 species